UUGCCUCAAAUUAAUGAGUAAGGAUAAUAUAGGAUUUGGGUGAUACCUUAUCCACAUAUACUUCCGGUAUAUGAUAAUCACCAAAUAUUUGGCGGGGUAUAGGUCGGCCUUGGUAAGUUCCUUCCUACAUUCGAAGGUUCUAACCGAGAUUGCUAACCUCCCGU
rfam:Rhizophagus irregularis DAOM 181602 strain DAOM 197198 GLOINscaffold_3215_Cont3214, whole genome shotgun sequence.